rnacentral:rRNA from 1 species
GAUGAACGCUGGCGGCGUGCCUAAUACAUGCAAGUAGAACGCUGAAGGAGGAGCUUGCUCUUCUGGAUGAGUUGCGAACGGGUGAGUAACGCGUAGGUAACCUGCCUGGUAGCGGGGGAUAACUAUUGGAAACGAUAGCUAAUACCGCAUGACAACAGUUAUUGCAUGAUAACUGUUUAAAAGGGGCAACUGCUCCACUACCAGAUGGACCUGCGUUGUAUUAGCUAGUUGGUGAGGUAACGGCUCACCAAGGCGACGAUACAUAGCCGACCUGAGAGGGUGAUCGGCCACACUGGGACUGAGACACGGCCCAGACUCCUAGGGGAGGCAGCAGUAGGGAAUCUUCGGCAAUGGACGGAAGUCUGACCGAGCAACGCCGCGUGAGUGAAGAAGGUUGUCGGAUCGUAAAGCUCUGUUGUAAGAGAAGAACGAGUGUGAGAGUGGAAAGUUCACACUGUGACGGUAUCUUACCAGAAAGGGACGGCUAACUACGUG